rnacentral:rRNA from 1 species
ACCCGCUGAACUUAAGCAUAUUAAUAAGCGGAGGAAAAGAAACUAACAAGGAUUCCCCGAGUAAUGGCGAACGAAACGGGAAUAGCCCAAAUUUGAAAUCUCUGGCGCAAGUCAGCGAGUUGUAAUUUGGAAAGAAAGUGUUCCUUGCCUCUUUGUUUUUGCAAAAGUCCACUGGAAUGUGGCGGCACUUUUGUGCUCUUUGGGUCAUAGAGGGUGAAAAUCCCGUUUUGCAUGAAUAGAGAGACUGUUGUGUCACUUUCUUUAAGAGUCGGAUUGUUUGGGAAUGCAAUCCAAAAUGGGUGGUAAAUUCCAUCUAAGGCUAAAUAUAAGCAAGAGACCGAUAGCGAACAAGUACCGUGAGGGAAAGAUGAAAAGAACUCUGAAGGGAGAGUUCAAUAGUACGUGAAAUUGCUGAAAGGGAAACGCUUGGAACUAUUGUUGCUCUUAGUAGAACUUGUUCUAUUAAGGCGAGUCAACAGCAGUUUUGAGAGGCUUAGAAGUCUUGGGGAAAUGUGACUACAUUUUUUUGUAGUGUUAUAGUCCCCAAGUACCAAGUCUUUUGAGACUGAGGGCUGCCAUGUCUUUUGAAGGACAUUUUUUCUUGUUAGAUUGCUGUUG